AGUGAACGCUGGCGGUAGGCCUGACACAUGCAAGUCGAACGGCAGCACAGGAGAGCUUGCGCUCUGGGUGGCGAGUGGCGGACGGAUGAGGAAUACAUCGGAAUCUACUUUUUCGUGGGGGAUAACGUAGGGAAACUUACGCUAAUACCGCAUAACACCUACGGGUGAAAGCAGGGGAUCUUCGGACCUUGCGCGAUUGAAUGAGCCGAUGUCGGAUUAGCUAGUUGGCGGGGUAAAGGCCCACCAAGGCGACGAUCCGUAGCUGGUCUGAGAGGAUGAUCAGCCACACUGGAAGUGAGACACGGUCCAGACUCCUACGGGAGGCAGCAGUGGGGAAUAUUGGACAAUGGGCGCAAGCCUGAUCCAGCCAUACCGCGUGGGUGAAGAAGGCCUUCGGGUUGUAAAGCCCUUUUGUUGGGAAAGAAAUCCGGCUGGCUAAUACCCGGUUGGGAUGACGGUACCCAAAGAAUAAGCACCGGCUAACUUCGUGCCAGCCGCCGCAGUAA
rnacentral:rRNA from 1 species